CUCGUUCCAUCUUCAAUCAUUAUUGCAUUUUCUAUCCAACAAACAGUGUUACUACUAAAUUUAAGAUGAACAAUAGUCCAAUCAAAGUUCUGGUAACAUCAAUCAAUGGUUAUGGACACUUUAAUGCCGCUCUUGGUGUUGCAAGUUUGUUAUUGGAACGUGGUAAUGAUGUUUAUUUUGCCAAUGUAUUGAACCAUAAAGACGAAGUUGAAAAAUACGGUUUGAAAUUCAUUGCUCUUGAAGAUUAUGACAAUAAAUUUAAAGAAAUGGAAACGACUGCUGAAAGUAAAUGGACGGAAAUCGUAGUGAAAAGCAUGCAACUCAGGUCAACUUCACCUUUAGCUGAAGACGAAAGCUUCAUUGCCGGUAUGUCGAUGAUCUUUGAGGAGCUCCAGUUAUUGAAUUCAAGUUUGCAAAAAAUCAUAGACUCCAUCAAACCAGAUAUUCUGAUUGGUGAUGUUUGUUUUCCUCUUCCACUCUUUUAUCAAUCUUCAAUUCCAAGCAUAUUUUUGUUCUCAGCCAAUCCAUUAGGACUUUAUUCGGAGACAACAGGAUUUCCAGCUUCACUGGGUUUAUCUGUCCAUAGUGAUAAAAGCACGUGGUCAGGCCAUUUAGAAAAGUUAUCAUCAAAAUUGCUAGAAGUGAGCAAGAAAUACUUUCAGUGGUAUUCCUCAUUUGGUAUCAUAACAACUUCUUUCUAUGAUUCAGAAAAAUUUCUUGGUAUUUAUAUCUACCCGAAGGCAUUAGACUAUGUUGAGUUAGGAUCGCCACCUCCAAAUUGGAUUGGCAUAGACUCUUCGAUUCGUACACGGGAUGCAAAAGAAUUUAUUGUUCCACCAUUUAGUACCAAUCAGACUGGCAAAUUGAUUUACUUGUCUAUGGGAACUUCAGGAUCUCUGAACAUAUCUUUGAUGAAACGUUUGAUCAACACCUUUUCCAAAAGUAAACAUCGUUUCAUCGUCUCUAAAGGGUUUAAAGGUGAUGAGUUGACUUUACCUGAAAACAUGUGGGGCGAUAAUUAUGUCGAUCAAAUCGCUAUCUUACCCAAAGUUGACGCGGUUAUAACUCAUGGUGGAAAUAAUUCAUUUGUUGAGUCGCUCUUCUUUGGUAAACCAAUGAUUGUAAUUCCGUGUUGCUUUGAUCAACUGGAUAAUGCACAAAGGAUUGAAGAUUUGAAACUUGGAUACAGAAUCGAUCCAUUUGGAUAUGAUGAAGAUGAAGUCCAUAAGACUGUUGAUAAUUUACUUGAAAAUACCGAGAUUCGCUUAAAAAUGGAAGAAAUUUCAAAACAAUUGAAGACUUCAAAUAACCGAGAAGUGGCAAGAUUGAUUGAAAACAUUGCCAGAACUAAAAAGUAUCCAAUUCAAUGAAUAAUUGGUUAGUUUUAAAAAACAAUUACAAUGUACAUUCUGGUCCAACCUGCACGAGAAAAUCUUAUUUUCAAACAUGCAAUUAAGUAAACAAUUAGUUUUCUAAACAAUUUUUUUGUUGUCAGAAGAUGGCGCAAGAAAGAAACUCUUUCACUUCACCAUUUUAAAUUAAAUUGAAGCAAUUAGCAAUAGAAAUGGCUUUUCGACUGUUUUUCAAUUUUAAUGAUUCUGAUGUUUAGUUUUCAAAUUUAAUAAUAAAUUUAUGAUAAUUCAGCCGGAAAA